UAGGGAGACCUACCCGUUUCUCCUUGAAGGUCCAGUUCUCCAGGGAAUCAAUUAACCUCGGUUGAUUUGAUUGGUUAGAGGAUUGGGCUAUUAGAGAAGAAGCUGGUCAUCCCAAGGUCGUUCGAGGAUUGAGUGUUGGCUUCUAGACUAUGUAAGAUUGGUUCGGGUUAUGGGCUAUUAGCUCAGGUGGUUAGAGCGCACCCCUGAUAAGGGUGAGGUCCCUGGUUCGAGUCCAGGAUGGCCCACCUUUUGAAAACGAGGGGGUUUAGCUCAGUUGGUAGAGCGCCUGCUUUGCAAGCAGGAUGUCAACGGUUCGAGUCCGUUAACCUCCACUGAGAGCAGAGAGCUUUCGUACCCGAAGCGGCAUCAAUUUCAGCAACUUGUCUAACUAGGUCUUCACGAAUGUGAGACUAGGAUUAGAGAGCCUGCUGGACUUGUUCCAGACAGAACCAUGAAAACUGCAUAGAAACUUGUCAGGUAGAAAGUAGUAGUCUUUCAGCGAAUUGCUCACGAGGUAAUUCAAAGGAAGGCACAACAGAUAUCACAGACACCAAUGUUGAUUGAUUUUAAGU
rnacentral:tRNA from 1 species